CGCUAUAUUCGUGUUUAUUAUGGUAACCAGUCUUCCUUCGUGUUGGCCUUCCUUGCUUAAAAUCUCUUUUUCUAUUAACCGUUCUACAUCUUGGGCAUUUUGAAUGAGAUAGUUCAUUAGUUCUACGUAAGCACAAACGUAGGCUUCAUCUGGACAAUGGCACAUCUCGAACGCCAUGACGUUCCGAAGGUAAGCUUCAGUGUUGGAGUGCACUGUCAAUUUGGGGGUUUUAAGCUUUUUGCCUUCAAAUUUAACAUCAAGCAAACAUGCAGUUUGGUUGGGUUCAACUAUAAGCUCAACACCAACUUCUUGCAAACUUGUGGCACCGUACACUUUUUUCAACGUUGGGAUCUUGGUCUUUGAUGAUGGAUUUUAUGUUUUGGUCAUAUGGCAUCUUUGCAAAGCGGUGAAGUGUGGGAUUUGUAUAUGCUCGAACUGCGGGUCCCAUGGAAUGUCAAAGUAGGAACAAGCUAGUUUAAGGAAAGAAGGAACAGAGGCAUCUGAUGCUAGUUUGUGGUUUUCAUAUGGUUUAUACAGUUCUUCAAGCACGAACAUUGGGAUCUGGUUUUCAAGUAAGAUCAAAUCCCUCCGUAGACCAGCGGACCAUGUUUCUUUCAACAACAAGUCUUUGAUGUCCGAAUUUUUUUCCACUUCCUUCUCAUAGUUCCUCAAGAAGAGCUCCAUGAUAAACAGUGCAUCAUAAAAUAUCAUCUUUACGAACUCGUCUUCAUCGAUUAAAGCCUGUAACAGUUGAGAAUAUUUUUAUCGUAGCGUUCAAUGAAACUCCAAAAACUUUCCAAUGCCUUCUUGGAAACGGAAGUCCUUUGAAGAAAUUUAACUUGAUAAUCCACUUUAUACUUGGCCAUGCUAGCCAAACUUGUUUUCCGAUAAUGAAGAGGGCCAAUUGAAAUUAAUAGAGGAGUGUAAGCUUUUGGAUUUGCUUGACGAAUGUUCCUAGGGACCUCGUAGAUAAACCCUUGGUCCGGCCCCCGCUCCAAAUCCUCCACUUCCGAAUCAUUGGAUGCUUCAUCUUUCUUUGUCUCAAAUGAUGGGGCGUUAAUUGAGCCUAAUUGUCCCUUCCUUGGAGCCAUUUCUUGCACCUACUUUUUCAUGUAUCUAGCAUACAUAUCAAGUUAGCAAUAAACUUUAUUUAUAUAUUGAAUGAAAAAUGAUUUUAGUAUCGUUAUGUGGCAUGCAACAUUACAGUGCUUUGAAAUCAGUAUGUACCGACCAGACCAGUACUAGUAUGGUACUGACUACUGUAGAUCAUACACAUAGAGACUUAAAACUUACAGGGAAUCCGAUAACCUUUGGCUUCCAAUACUAGAAUUGGCUGCUGACGCCUGGAUUUGAAAACGGAGAGAAAUGGAAGGGAAACGUUGAAGAACUAGUUACUAGAUAAUAAGUGAAUCCUUGAAGUCGAUCAGAGUGGCUAAGGGCAUUUAUAUAGAUGCAAAUUUGGAUCAGGUUGGUUGAAUUUGAUCCAAAGUCUAAACAUCAAAAAAAAUAUUAGAAAAGGUGGCAUUGGUGGGUGUUUAUAAAUUGAAUCUUAAAAUGUAUUUAGUUAGCUGUUAAUGUCUCCUAUAUUUAAUAUAUUAAAGGGUUAAUGUAUUUUUCCCUUUCUGAUUUUAAAAAUAACGUUUACUUUCGUAUGUCAAUUUUGUAUAAUAACGUUUACAUGGGGUCUACUGUGUAAGUCUAUAACUCGAUUAUGUCAGCAUAGAGAGUGUGUUAGGAUAGAAAACAUGGUGCAACCUAUCAGGUUAGAAGACUUGGAAAAAUCUAUUGAGACAUUUAACUUGGGGUAAAAGAGUGAAGAACUGUAGCUUGGUUGUGACAUCAUGAAGACUCAGCCGAUAUGGUGAAAAUGGGACUUCACAAGGUGAAAAAUCUUAGCUUGGUGAUGGAGUUUGGCGAAGAACGCCAAAUGGAAUGGAACCUAAGGCUUUUUCAAUUAGAGGAUGUACCAAAUGAAGGAGUGAAACUUCAGGGUCCAUGGGUAAGGGCUAAGUCACUAGGAAUGACAAGGAACUCGCUUAAGGUUUAUCUGGGGUAAAUAGUUUGCUAGGAAAAAGGGAAGAUCGGAAUUUUAAACCCAAUAAGCCAAUGUUAGUUAGUUAAUGGCUGACAUGGGAAUCUCUCAUCCAAGGUGGCGAAAGGGGGAAACAAAGAAUCUUGGAUGAGGUGUGUUCAAUUCUGUAUUCCUCGUGAACCCCUACCUUGGAUAGAAUUUGUGUAUGCUACAAAUUAUGAAGGAGUUGGUCAGCGGUGCGCUUUAGGAAAAAAGCGAAGAGAAAGACACAUUGAAAUAAUCUGCUAAUGGCCAAUGGUGACCAGAGAGUGGAAAAAUAUCCUUUUAGGGUUUAUUUAUUAAAUUUCAAUUUAGCUAUAUGUCGACUUGCAAAAGAUCACUAAGUUCUAUCGAACUAACCAACGGUAUGCUUAAUUGCAGGAAUAAGCUUUCACUUGGAAAUUGCGCGGGGGGCUAAGCCAGACUUUGCCAACUUGAAGGAAAAAGGGAGGGAUAGUCAUAACAUGCAUAUAGAGGGGCGCUCUUAGAGGUUAUACCUUGGGGUUUUAGUCAAGUUCUAAAAUUUUCAAGUUUUAAAGUCAAAGUUUUAAAUGAAGUUGUGAACUAGCUAUUUUAAAAGAUGUAUAUGCUAGUAUUGACUAUUGUGUAUUGUUAAUUAGUUGAGAAUAAAAUUCAAAUGUGUUAGCUAGAUAUUUAGGAUUUGAAUCAUCCGAAACUCGGAUUUGGAGAGCAAGUCGGGUACGGGUGUUACAAAUAUUUACCGAGCUAAUAUAAAAAUAUAUUGAAGAAUGGUCGAAUAAUUUUGUCAAAUUAAUAGUUAAUUAAGGCUCCAGGACAAAAUUGUAAAGUCCAAUCAUUAUAGAGUUUUAAUUAAAAAAAAGCUUGAGGACUAGAUAACAAUUAACCAAAAGACCGAAAUGGGUAAUAAACCAUUAUUAUGUAAAAGUUAAUGGAAGAUUCUAUCUCUAAUAAGUGAAGUUAAAAGUUAGAUUAUGCUAACUAAUUGUGAUUUAUUAAGCUAAUUAGCUACUAAUUAAACUAUAAAUAACAAGAUAAGUGGAAAGAAAUAGAAGGUUACCAUCUUCUUCAUACUUCUUUAGCUGAUUCACCAUUGAAAGAAAAAGAGAAAACCCAUUCUUAAGGCUUAGUCAUUCGAACAUUCAAAUAGGUAUGGAAAUCAAGCUAUUUUCUUGUAAUUUUAUAGAUUUAUGGUCAUGAAAGCUUGAUACAGCUAACCCAUGUACCAAUUUGUGAAUUUGUUAAAGUUUUAGAAAGUUGUCAUUGUUGAUUAUUUAAAGAAUUUGGUUUGAAAUUGAUAGAUUUUAAGCUUAGAAUAUGAAAAUGACUAGAUUUUAAAGUUAAAUUAGCUUGUUUGUUAACUUUGUUAUGUUAGAGACCAAAUUGAGUAAAUGUAAAACCUGUCAUGAAAUUAUGUUACAAAUAGAAAAUAUAAGGCCUCUAAUGAGAAUAUAUGAAAUCAUAUUUUAAUCCAAAGCUAGGAAUUGAAAGUUAUGCCUAUCUCGAGUUUAGGGACUAAAUUGAAUAAAACAUAAAAUAUGAAGGAAAUCAAAAAAUAAAUUUAUAUAGGAUCAUGCAUGUCAGGAAAUUUUAUGAAAAUGUUUGGUAUUGAAUUUUUAUAUAAAAUAAUUGUAUAUAUCAAGAUUUGGUUCAAAGUGGAGUUAAUAGGGGAAAAGCUAAAAUUAGGGAUUAGUCUCUAAAGAAUCGACUAGUGUUUUGUUUUGAAUAAGUAAGUUCAUAUGGAAUUUUCUAUCUCAUUUUUGUAUGAUAUGUGUGCUUGUGUUUAAUUUGAUAUAUCUAUGUUUGAGUAUAAUUUAAAAUAUUAGUGAAUUUGACAUAUAUGUCUAGUAAUGGAAUGAAUUGGAAUGCCAUGUGAUGAUUGACUAUUGCGUAAUAAAUGUGAAAAUUUGAAUGACUAUAGAGUAUAAAUGUAUAAAAUUGAUUGAUUAUAGGGAUGAUAAUGAAAUAUGUGUAAUUGAUGCCUAUUGAGUUAUAUGCGUGCUGGAACGGGAUAUGUGAUUGUACGAAGAUUAUUAUAGGUCAUAUUGAGAUUCAACAUCCGUUGCGGAUCAUCAAGUAUUAUAUAGCUCAGAUAAUCAACUUGGUGUAAUUUAGCUUGGAUGAGCAACCUAGUAUGGCAUAGUUUACCUAUGUAUCUGAGUCUAUUUUACUAAAGUUCCAUCUGGUGAAACAUGAUAAUUGGAAUAUAAAACUUGAAAAUGUAAUGAAAUGAGUUGAUAAAAUAAUUUGAUAUAACAUUGAAAGGAAUUGUAUGGAAUUAGUAUAAUCUUAUAGAUCGGUAAUGGAAUAUGACAUUAAAAAUGAACUAUGUGAAGUUGUUAUGUUCUUAUAGAUAAUGAUAGAAUAUGACAUUGAGACAAGUUAUGUGAAAGUGAUGGAUUGAUAUGUUUUGAGUUUGCUUAUACCUACUAAUGAACAUGGAUACUUCUGCUCACUUGUUAUUUUAAGUGCUAUGUCUUAGUAAAAAUUUUGCCAAAACUAAGGUAGCUAACAUACAAAGUAUGCCAAGUAUUUAAGAAGAAUUGCUCCUCCUUUUUUCUGAAUAUUAAUUACUUACUUUCUUAAAUGACAUGCGAGAUUUUCUUUCUUUUUCCUUUCUCCCUUCUUUCUUUUCCUUCUCCUUUAUUCACUAAAUCACUACCAUCCACAACCUGUUCCUCCCUUAAGUUGUUCACAUGAUCAUCUUUAACCUCAACCUUCUUUACAAGAUAUAUAGAUAGAUGGGUGCAGAUGAAGAGGUCAGGAGUUGGGUUGAGUGACGGAGCAACGAUAAGUUAAGCAGAUGGUGUGGUUUGUGCAAGCAGGUACUGAAGAUUACAUACCCAGAAAAAUUAGGUCAUAGGGCAUAUAAUGUUAACUUUGGCAUGAUAAUUAAACUUAAUAUACACUAAAAUAUUUGACCGUAGCCAAAUGCCAAACUAAAAGCAAAACCAUGAAAACUUCAAUCACUACUUUCAUUACAUACAAAUGCAUAGGCAUUCGUAUUUUAUUGAAAACACACCAGCACGAUAAUACUAAAAAUUAAUUCACAAAAGCAAACACGGUUUGUAUGCAGGUGAGGACGACAACCAUAAAAGCAGCAACAGUCCCUGUUCCUCUCCAAAGAUUGGGGAAAUAAACACGCUUCAGAAUUCCAUAAUUUUCCUUGAUGAAUAAUGUCACUUUGCGCUUCCGACCCUCUUUAUAAAGCUGGUUCAAUCGAUUCGCGGUUUCCCGGUAGCAAGCAGGCGGCUCCCCAAUUCCCUGCAUAAGUUUCUUAAUCAUACGUUGCACCGCUAUAUUUGUGUUUAUUAUGGUAACCAGUCUUCCUUCGUUUUUGCCUUCCUUGCUUAAAAUCCCUUUUUCUAUUAACUGUUCUACAUCUUGGGCAGUUGGAAUGAGAUAAUUCAUUAGCUCUAUGUAAGCACAAACGUAGGCUUCAUCUGGACAAUGGCACAUCUCGAACGCCAUGACGUUCCGAAGGUAAGCUUCAGUGUUGGAGUGCACUGUCAAUUUGGGGAUUUUAAGCUUUUUACCGUCAAAUUUAACAUCAAGCAAACAUGCAGUUUGAUUAGGUUCAACUAUAAGCUCAACACCAACUUCAUGCAAACUUGUGGCACCAUACACUUUUUUCAACGUUGGGAUCUUGGUCUUGGAUGAUGGAUUUUGUGUUUUGGUCAUAUGGCAUCUUUGCAAAGCGGUGAAGUGUGGGAUUUGUAUAUGCUCGAACUGCGGGUCACAUGGAAUGUCAAAGUAGGAACAAGCUAGUUUAAGGAAAGAAGGAACAGAGGCAUCUGAUGCUAGUUUGUGGUUUUCAUAUGGUUUAUACAGUUCUUCAAGCACGAACAUUGGGAUCUGGUUUUCAAGUAAGAUCAAAUCCCUCCGUAGACCAGCGGACCAUGUUUCUUUCAACAACAAGUCUUUGAUGUCCGAAUUUUUUUCCACUUCCUUCUCAUAGUUCCUCAAGAAGAGCUCCAUGAUAAACAGUGCAUCAUAAAAUAUCAUCUUUACGAACUCGUCUUCAUCGAUUAAAGCCUCGUAACAGUUGAGAAUAUUUUUAUCGUAGCGUUCAAUGAAGCUCCAAAAACUUUCCAAUGCCUUCUUGGAAACGGAAGUCCUUUGAAGAAAUUUAACUUGAUAAUCCACUUUAUACUUGGCCAUGCUAGCCAAACUUGUUUUCCGAUAAUGAAGAGGGCCAAUUGAAAUUAAUAGAGGAGUGUAAGCUUUUGGAUUUGCUUGACGAAUGUUCCUAGGGACCUCGUAGAUAAACCCUUGGUCCGGCCCCCGCUCCAAAUCCUCAACUUCCGAAUCAUUGGAUGCUUCAUCUUUCUUUGUCUCAAAUGAUGGGGCGUUAAUUGAGCCUAAUUGUCCCUUCCUUGGAGCCAUUUCUUGCACCUACUUUUUCAUGUAUCAAGCAUACAUAUCAAGUUAGCAAUAAACUUUAUUUAUAUAUUGAAUGAAAAAUGAUUUUUGUAUCGUUAUGUGGCAUGCAACAUUACAGUGCUUUGAAAUCAGUAUGUACCGACCAGACCAGUACUGGUAUUUUACUGACUUAAAACUUACAGGGAAUUCUAUAACCUUUGGCUUCCAAUACUAGAAUUGGCUGGUGAAGCCUGGAUUUGGAAACGGAGAGAAAUGGAAGGGAAACGUUGAAGAACUAGUUACUAGAUAAUAAGUGAAUCUUUGAAGUCGAUCAGAGUGGCUAACGGCACUUAUAUAGAGGCAAAUUUGGAUCAGGUUGGUUGAAUCUGAUCCAACUAAACAUCAACAAAAAUAUUAGAAAAGGUGGCAUUGGUGGGUGUUUAUAAAUUGAAUCUUAAAAUGUAUUUAGUUAGCUGUUAAUGUCUCCUAUAUUUAAUAUAUUAAAGGGUUAAUGUGUUUCACAGCUUUCUUUGUCUAGCCAAGGGUGGAGUCGGGGGCUGGUAGGGUACCAUAAAUGUGUUUCACAGCUUUCUUUGUCUUCUAUCAACUGCCUUUUUCUUUUAGGUCUCCCAAAUAGACGACAGGAAAUUAAUUAGAAAAGGACGUAAGAAAAUACAAACAAACUAAAGGAUAAAUCCACAUUAGGGCUUUAGUUGCCAACUCCUUUGCUUCUCUUUGAAUUUCUCUAUUUCCUUGUGAUGAUUUUGUGAAUUUUAUUCCAUGAAACAGCGUUGUAAUAUCAGCAAAAGCCGAAACUAGCUUCCAUUUGAUUUACUGUCGAAGAUGUCGAUCCACUCCCUCUCCUAUUUAUGAUUAUGCGGAACAUAGUAAAAGUAUAGAUUUCUAUAAAUAAUUUUUGUAAUAAUUCUUUAUAGGAAAAUCUUUGAUGGAGAAGAUUAGGGAAACCUUUGUUUUUGAAUUUUUGGUUUGGUUUGGUAUUUCUUAGUAUAUAUAUGUAAAUAAAAUUCCUCUCCUAUUUAUGUAAGUUCUCAUGUCUCUUCGUAGAGACAUAAUUAUUCAAUAGAUGCUUAUUUGAAUAGAUACAUCUAUUAAGAAUGAGCAAUAUCAUUUUUUAUAAAUUACUUGAAUAAUCAUAAUUUUUUUGUUAAUAAUAAAGCAACAUAGCUUUUAUUAUUUAAGAUCCAUAAUUAAUAUAACACCCUUAACCCGUCACUGUCUUUGGAUUAGGGUUAUGGAGCAUUAUCCAUCCAUCGAAAAACAUUUAUCAUCAUAACAUUUAAAAAAUUAAUCUGAAUCAAAAUCAUAGUAAACAUAUACAUUUGGUCCCUAAAUCGAGCCUUCACGGCCUUAAAAAUAACUUAGAAGCAAUUUAAGACUAAUUUGAAACAAAAUAGAAUAUUUGGGAAAAUUUUGGAAAAAUUAGAAAACAAGGGUCACACGGCCGUGUGACAUAGCCUAGGCUAUGUAGCAAUCAAACAAGGGAACACACAGCCGUGUCCUAGCCCGUGUCUUUACCGUGUAACUCACUAAGUAGGGUCACAUGGCCGUGUCGGGGGCUGUGUGCCAGGCCGUGUAACUCUCUGAGUUGCAACAUACGGCCGUGUGCUAGGCCGUGUAACUCACUGAAUUAAAACACUAGAAAUUUACACAUGACACAUGGUCGUGUAGCUAUGCCGUGCAUAUCACACGGCCGUGUGACAGCCCGUGUCCCAAGCCAUGUGAUCCAUAAUUUGACCCUAAAACAAGCCAAUUCAAGGCCAAAAUACAUAUAAUCAAUCAUCCCAUUUGUGCACACAUUCAAGGGAUUUAAACAUCAUUCAAACACACCUAAACAUGCCAUUUCAAACAUCCUAAUUCAUCUAACCAAUAUGCCAUUCAAAGGCACCACAAUUGUAUCAAAACAUCAUGGAUCAAACCAAAACAACAUAGCUACUUUUCUAGCAUAUAACCUAGUUCAAUUAUUUACCAAAUCAUAUCACAAAUGAUCAUUUCCAAGCCAUCACAAACAUACUAAAAGAGCCUUAUAUACAACUACUUAAGAAUGGCCAAAAUGACCUAACUUGAACGAGCAUAAAAAGUUCAUCAAAUCCAAACAUAAACUUUACAAGCAUGAACAUACUAAAUCAACCAUUUACAUAAUCAUGAACUGCCAUUACAAAAGGUCCUAUACAUGCCAUUACUAACCUUGGCCAAAAUACUUAAAAACUAACGAAAAUGGUUGUUGGAUAGUGUGAUAGGUCUCUGACGAGCUUUCAAUCGAUCGAGCUUCUGAUUAUCUAUAAAACAAAGGAAAAUAACUACGUAUGCAACUAGUGCUUAGUAAGCUCAUAUAAACUCAAACAAAACUUACCAUUUCAUCAGCACAAUAUCAUAACCGAGACAAUAAGCUUAGCAUAAGCCUAUACAAGCAUCAUCAACUCACAAGUUAGUAUGCUUAUCCCUGAUACAAAUGUAUUCAAUCAUAUAGUAAGUAAGUGUAAUAGCCUGAUUUUCAGUGAUGUCGGAAACAAUGGUUCGAGACCACCAAAUCCGGCAAAUGAGCUCAUAAACUUUAUUAUUUAAUAUUUACGAGCCAAAUGAGGUUUUUAAAAGAUUUUUGAAUUAGUAAGUUUGUGGUUAUAAAGAUUUAUUACAUUAAUUGAUUUAGAAAAAGAGGUAUUGGGACCUCGGUGUUAUAAAACGAGUCGUAAUUAUUUUAUAAAUAUUUACGAAGUGUCAAUAAGGUAGUAUUAAAGUUUCGUUCGGAAAUUUUAACGCUUUGGUAGCCAAUUAAUUAAAAAGAACUAAAUUAAAAAAGGUGCAAAACUUACUAAAGUGAUUAAAUAGUCUAAAUAGUAAAUAAAUAAGGACUAAAAGAGAAAAUAGACCCACAUGAAUGGCUGAGGUGGCAUAGCAUGAAAAAAAAUCAAGGAUUUUAUGUGAAAUAAAGGCAAAAUUUACAAUUUUGCCAAAUUAAAGAGAAAUAAAUGGGAAAUUGAAAAUUCGAGACAAAUUCAUCAUCAUUUUCAACUCAAAAAUAGCCAUUGAAGAGGGUUUAAGCUGGUUUUUCAUAUUUUAGCUUCAUGUAAGUUUAAUUCUUGAUUUUUCCUUGAAAUUUUUAUGUUUUUAGACUUUUACAACUAGGUCCAACUUACUAUUUCAUUAGUUUUUAUUUUGUUGAAAGUUUUAGAAGAUACCAUUGAUAAGUUCGUAUGAUUUUAGUUAUUAAGUGAUGAAAUUGAGAUGUUGAUGGGUAUUGAAAGGUAUUUUAUUAAGGAAUUUUGGAUGAAAUCAUGUUUUAGGGAUUAAUUUGUAAAGUUGUUAAAUUUAUGUGAAAUUCUAAAAUUUCAUGGAAUUUAUGGGUUUCUAUUGAUAUAUAUAUAUAUAUAUAUAUAUAUAUAUGAAAGUAUUUAGACAUGGAAUAAGGAAUAAAUUACAUGAAUUUCAUUUUCCGACCCUAGGGACGAAAUAGUCAUUUAGUAAAAGUAUAGGGGCAAAAUAGUAAUUUUCCUAAGAUGUGACUUGUAUAGAAUUGAAUGUAAAUUGUAUUAAACUGAGCUAAAUUUACUCGUAUAGAUCCGGAUAGACCAAGUACGGAAGUAGAUCAUGUUAAAGAAAAAGUAUCAGAUUAGUAGAUUACAAGUCACGAACAAUUAGUUGAGGUAAGUUCGUUUAACUUAAUUUUAUAAUUAUAUGUUUGAAAUUAUUUGAAUGAAUUGUAUGUGAAUUAUUUAUUUUCCAUGUGUAUGAAAUCUGGUCACAUAUCCAGAAAAUACCUGAUAAAUGUUGAAGCUCGUUUGAAUGAAUGAAAUUAAAUUGGAUACAGGGUUCUGUCUCCCGAAACGGUAAUGGUCCUGCAUUUGUUGCGAACAUACCAUAGCUCAAAAGAGCAUCCCGGUAUAGGCCCUCUCAAGCUUCCCAUUAUAGUUUUCUCACAAGCUUCUCGUUAAAUGCUCUUCUGAGCAUCCCGACUAGUUGUGAUAUGCAUAUGUUGUAGACACACCCACGCUCUUAUGAGCAUUCUGUUUAUAGGCUCUUUGUGAGCUUCCCGUUAAAGGCUCCUCGGAGCUUCCCGUUAAGUGCUCUUUAAAGCUACCCGAUAUAGGCUCUUUGUGAGCUUCCCGUUAUUAAGCCUGGAUAAGCUUCUCGUUACAUGGCUUAAUGAGUUUCCCGUUAUAGUGCUUGAGAGAAAGCUUUCUGUUUAAAUGCUCUAAUGAGUACUCCCAGACAUGAAUUGACAUAUUUCUGAUUUUUACACUUUAUGUGUACUACCCUCGUAUCCAUCGAGAUUUCAAAUGAUUCAACGGAUGAAAUUGUGACAUGAAGACAAGUGAAAAUCAAAAUGAAAUCAAAAUCUGGAAAAUACAUGAAAUGCAUGGAACUUGGUAUUUGAUGAGCUCAUCUUUGGUAUUGAUAUUUACAUGAAAUGAUUAACUAACAUAUUUGAUGAGAUUAUGUGCUUAGGCUAUGGCCAAAUUGUUUGGAAUGCGUGUGUAUGUUUACUUAAUGUACAAAUGAAUGGAAAGUUAAUUUCCUGUUUAUACGGACUUACUAAGCAUAAUAUGCUUACUCUAUUUUACUUUCAUUUGUUUUAUAGUAAUACGAAAGCUUGUUUGAUUGGAUGUUUGACGGAGAUAACUCACACUAUCCACCGGCACAUUUCAGUACAAAUAUGAUACUAAUUAUAGAUAUAAUGACAUGUAUAGGUUUUGGUUAGCCAAUGUUAGCAUACAAAUAUUUUGGUUGUAAAUAGCCAUUGGAAUGGCUUGUGAUGAAUGUGUUUUGGUAUAUUAACAUAUAAAUUAAUUUCAUGUUUGAUAUAAGUGCUUAAUUUGAUUUAUGAAUAUUAGUAUGAUAUUAAGUAAAUAUGGCCUAGUAGAUAAAUUCAUAAACAUGGAUUUAUGAAGUGUUAUUGAGUUUGGCAUGAUUUAAAUGUUUUGGAUUGGCUUUUAGAUGUGUUAAAAAAUGUUUGUGUAGGUGGAUGAUCAAAUGGGUGAGAAAUAAGGCUUGGUGAUGGCCUUAUUUUGUCCACAUGGAUAGAGACACAAGCGUGUGUAUCAGUCGUGUGUGACACACGUCAUAGCACUUGGGCGUGUGUUCUGGCUGUGUGUCCCCCCAUCUUAAAAUUCAAAACGGAAUGCUCAGUAUUUUUCACACGGCCUAGCACACGGGCAUGUGGCUUGGCCGUGUGACCCCUACACCUUAAUGUUUUGCAAGUCAAAGAGUUACAUGGGCUAGGGACACAGCCGUGUAACCUACUUCAUAUACAACACAACCUAGGACAUAGGUGUGUCACUUGGCCGUGUGAGCCACACGGCCUGACCACGCGGGCAUGUGACCCCUGCACCUAGGAAAAGUUUUCAAAUUUCACGAAAAAUGCUCUGAGUUCCCGAUUUAGUCCUGACUUGUUUCUAAUGUAUGUUUUGGGUGUCGAGGGCCUUAAUAAGGGACUUUACGAUCAAUUUUCUGACAUGAAUGUUAAAAUGAUAUAAAAUGUCUAUAUUUAUUCUAUAAGUUUUGGUAAUGCUCCGUAACCCUGUUCCGGCGACGGAUACGAGUUAAAGGUGUUAUAGUAAGAUUCACAUAAACAUCAUUUAAUUCAUCAACUUGUUCAUAUGAUCAUGAACUAUUUCAUUUGUAGACUUACUGUGUCAUUUCCUUUAAUUAUCCGUGGAACCAUCUAUAAUUGCAUCGAAUCCUCGGGAAUGCUCACACAUAGUGUGCCUUUCCAUAUAACUGUAACAUUUCCUUUUCAAUAGUGCUCACAAGAGCUGUGAAAUGGGCCUACUCACACUACCUGUGGGUCAGAAUGUUAGCUACACGAUACUGCUCACACGAGCUGUGGAGAAUCCACAACAAAUGCAGGACCUCAACCAUCGGUAGGACAUUCAAGACCAGUACCCGAAACAUGAAAUCCCUAAUGACAUGUCAUUCAUAUCUUAAGAAUUUUAAAGGUUCAAACAAGACUCGUUAUCCAUCAAUUAUUUAAACAUCGAUACAUAUACAAUUACAAGUCCGUUAUAUUAACGCAACAUAGAAAAUAAUAAAUUUAGCUAACAUUAAUACUGUAAUAAUUCAUACAAACUUACCUUGGCAACUUUGGUCGUAAAAGUAGAGUCUAACACCAAUCCAAAGCUUUAGUCUUUCCUCGAUUUAAGUUGGUUUAUCUUGAUCUAAAUAAAUAAUUUCAUUCAAUUCAGUACUUCUACUAUUCAAUUUAAUCCAUGAUUCAUAUAUAUGUAAAAUUAUGAAAUUACCCUUAACAUUUUAACUUUUCACAAUUUAGUCUUUAAGCUCAUAAUUUGAAAUUUAACCAUUGUAAUCCUUUAUACAAGCUAGCCGAAUUUCUUAGGAACUCAUACCAACCCACCUAAACCAUUAUUUCAUAAUUUUACCAUGAAAUUUUACUAUCUUCACUAAUAAAUCCCUAAAUGCAAUUUCAUAAAAAAUCACUUAACAAAACAUGUUUAUUUUACAACCAAGAUUAAUAAUCUAUCAAAUAACUUCAAAACCUAUUAAAAAACCAUGAAAAGUCCCUCAACCUUUAAUAGUUUUGUAGACUAAGCUAAAAUUAACUCAAGAACAUAAAAAUCAUUAAAAACAGGGCUUGAAUUCAUACGAUGAAAGAGUAAUUGCUUGGUUCAAACUUUCUUCUUCUCUAAUGGCUAUUUUAGGGUUUGAAACAAAAAUGAAGAAGACAACAUCUUAUUUUUAUUUUAUUUACUUAGUUUUUCUUUUAUUUACCAAUUUACUACUUUAACCUUAUUAUUAAUAAAUUUUUUUAAUAAAAUUCAUUAAAUUUACCACUCAAGUCCAUUAAAUUUCAAUAAAUUUACUACUUUAACCUUAUUAUUAACCACUAACUUUAAAUAUGGUAUAUUUACCACUCAAGUCCAUUAAAUUUUCUUUCCAUAGCCAUUUAGCCCUUUUUAACUGUAGAAUUCAACUUUUAUACUUUUUACGAUUUCGUCUUUUUUACCUAAUUAACCAUUUAAACUUCAAAAUUUCUUAACGGAACUUUAAUAAAACCUUAAAAUAAUCUCUUAGACAUUAAAUAAAUAUUAAAAUAAUAACUCACUCGUUAGAAUUGUGGUCCUGAUGCCAUUAUUUUUGACAUCAUUUAAAACAGGUUGUUACAACUAAUCACUAUGAAUAAUAACGAGUCUUGGUUAAUAAUCAAGUAAAAUAAUUUUUGAGUCACUUGAUACUUUUAAUUUGCAACUAUUGGAACAUUAUAUAUAUUUUAUAAAUCACUCUAGAAGAACAAUUAUUAGUCAAAAUAGUUGUUCAAAACAACCGUUGUUUAAGAAUAGUUGCACUUAGAGCAACUAUAUUUAGAACAGGGCUUCAGUUUAAAAUAGUUGUUAUCUAUGUAGCUGUAAUUUGAGAACAUCUCUAGUUUACUAUAAUAGAAUUUCAAUAAUAAUUAUGUUUAGGACAACCAUUGUUUGGAACAACUUCUAUUUCGAAUAUUGUGUUUUUUCGGAAGAGCCAUUAUUAAGAAUAAGGUAUUCCAAGAAAAGUAUCACCAUAAAAUAACUCUUGUUUAGAAAAGCCUUUAUAUUAAAAUAACUCACAUUUGAAACGAGCCAAAAUAAUUUUUUUUCAAGAAUAGCCUUGGUCUUGCAUUUCAAUAGAUGUUUAAUAGGAGAUGUUUCACGAGGUACUAUUUCAUAAAAGUAGAAGAAAUGAAAGUAACCCCGAAAUAUGAGAAGUUCUUAGGCUAUUUUUUUAGAGAUGUUUUGAAGAACUUAGCUUUAGAGAUCAUAUAUGGAGGUAGUUAAAAGGUUUCCUUUUGACCUUUUCCUGUAACAUUGGGCACUUUUCAUUCUGAAAUUGAAAUAGGUUGUAAUAACCCAGUGAAAACUUGGUGUUUGACCUUUACCCAUUGACAGGUCAAACAUUUUGCAACAUAGUCAACGGUUUCCCUUUUCAUUUUGGGCCACCAGUACUUUUCUUGCAAGUCGCGAUACAUUUUUGCUCCACCAGGAUGCAUUACAAAGAAACUAAUAUGAAUCUCACAUAGAAUCAAUUCUUUUAAUUCAACAUAUUUAGGAACACAGAUUCGAUUACAAAAUCUAAGGCAAUCAUUCUUAUCUACACUGAAAUUUUCAAUGAUGCCUUGCUGAACAAGUUGUUUUUUCUUAGAUAAAUUAAUAUCAACAAAUUCUGCCUCCUUUCUCCAAUCAAGAAACACGAGAUUAAUUCUCAAUUCAGCUAACAGGCUACCAUCAUCACAAAUAUUGAGUUGAGCUAACAUUGCCCGCAAUUCAAUUGCUACCUUUCUAUUCAGAGUAUCAAAUACAACAUUUGCUUUCCAAAUAUGGUAAUCAAUUACACAAUCGUAAUCCUUCAAUAGCUCAAUCCAAUAAUGUUGUCUCAGAUUGAAAUCCUUUGGCGAUAGGAGGUAUUUGAGACAUUUGUGAUCUAUACAAAUACAACAUUUUUCACAACACAAAUAAUGCCUCCAGAUCUUCAGAGUAAACAUCACAGCGAUCAAUUCUAAAUCAUGUGUCGGGUAAUUGAAUUCAUGCGGUUUUAAUUGAUGAGAUGCAUAAGCAAUCACCUUGCCAUCAUUCAUCAACACAAAACUCAAACUAUUCAAUGAGGCAUUAUUGAACACCAUGAACUCUUUCCUUAACAGAGGCAAGGUUAGGAUCGACACUUUAGUGAACAUUAUUUUCAAUUUCUCAAACUUUCUUGGCACCAUUUAUUCCAUUCAAACGACAUGUUCUUUUGCAGGAGCUUAGCCAUAGGCAAAGCUAUUUUGAAAAACCCAUUCACGAACCUCCUAUAAUAUUUGACCAAACCAAGGAAACUUCAAAAUUUGUUACACUUUUUGGUGUUUUCCUUAGAAUGAUAACUUUAAUAUUUUUAGAAUCGACUUGAAUUCCAUCAACGAAAAUAAUGUGCCUCAGAAAUGCCACUUCAAAUAAUCAAAACUCACAUUUAUUGAGCUUCCAGUAUAGUUGUUUCUCUCGCAACACUUGCAAUAUAAUUCUCAAAUGCAUUUCAUGCUCAGUAUUUGAUCUUAAGCAUAUCAGGAUAUCAUCAAUGAAUACAAUUAUGAACUAAUCUAGAUAAAGCUGGAAUAUGCAGUUCAAGAGAUGCAUGAAUAUCAUAGGGUCAUUCGUCAGUCUGAAUGGCAUCACAAGAAAUUCUAGUGAACAUAUCGUGUACAGAACACUAUUUUUGGUACGUCACUAUCUUUUACCUUUAACUGAUAAUAUUUGAACCUCAAAUCAAUCUUGGAAAAGACUGAAGCACCUUUCAAAUGGUCAAAAAAAUCGUCGAUACGUGAUACAGGAUAAUGAUUUUUGAUUGUCAACUUUUCCAACUAUCUAUAAUCAAUGCAAAGCUGCAUUGACCAAUCUUUCUUCUUGACAAGCAAUAUUAAAGCUCCCCACGUAUAAAGCCACACUACAGGAGAUCUUACAAUUGAACUUUUAGCUCAUUUAACUCUGUCAAUGUCAUACAGCAUAGAGCAAUUGAUACUGGAGUUGUACCUAGGUAAACUUCAAUUACAAAUUCGACCUUACGAUCAGGAGGCAAUCCUUCCAAUUCCUCAAAAAAAUUUGUGAACUCGUAUAUUGUUUAAAUAUUGCUUAUUUGGCUUUCAUCAGAGUUUGACUUAAUUAUAUAGGCCAAAUAUGCUUCACAACCUUGAUUUAAGAGCUUAUUAUCUCUAACUGAUUAAACGAUACAAAUUGAAUCACUUGUUAUAAUGCCUUUCACUUCCAUGGCCUCACCAUUUGGACUUUGGAUAAAAAAAUUCUUUUAGCAAUAGUCUAGUAUCACACCAUGUUUAGUUAACCAAUCUAUUACCAAAAUCACAUUGAAAUUGCCAAAUGGCAUGAUCAGUAUAUUAGUAGGGAACUAUCUAUUAUGAAUUUCCAAUGGACACCGUUUACAAACUUGGUCAACAAGCACGGUUUUUCCCAAAUGACUUGAUACAACCAUUGCAAAUUUUGCCAUUUUAGAUUUCAAACUCUUUGAUUUCACAAAACCAUAAUUUAUAUACGAAUGGGAUGAACCAAGGUCAAUCAAACUAUAUACGGGUCAUGUGUGUAAAAGAAAUAUACCUACUACGACAUCAGUAACAUCACCUUUCUAACAGGAAUGAACCACAUAGGCUCAAGCUGAGACUCUAGCCUAAGAUUGUUGAAUUGUUGACUUGGUCCUUUUUCUCAGACCACCCCUCAAUACAGAACCACUACAAGGAUUUCCCCAGCCCUUAGUAGCGAACCUCUGAGCUGUAACAGAUAGAUCAUUAUCAUUCCUCGCGCAAAAUCAAAUAAAGUGGUCUUGGGAUCCAAAAAAAAAGCAAGCCCUUGUCAACUUCCAACACUUCUUCUGGUGUUUUUUCCAUAAUUAUUACAGUUCAAAAUAUCAUAAUCUCUAGCGAGACCUCUUAUAACACCCCUAACUCGUACCCAUAGCUAGAAUAGGGUUAUAAAGCAUUACCAAAGUUUACAUUUCGAAACUAUCAAAAAUAUAACUCAUUUACUUCACAACAUCAAUCAUAGCAAAUUCCAUCAAUAACAUACAUAUUGUCCCUUAUACGAACCUUCGAGGCCCUAAAAACACAUUAGAAACAAAUCAAGACUAAAUCAGAAACAUAUAGAAUUUUCAGGGAAAAGAUGAAAAUUUUCAACUUGCAGGGGUCACUCGGCCGUAUAACUCACAUGGCUAAGAUGCAUGCCCGUGUCUCAGACUGUGUAUGCAUUCGAAGUAGGGACAUAUGACCUUGUCCUAGCCCGUGUAACUCUUUGACUUAGGUCACACGGCCAAGCCACACGCCCAUGUGCCAGGCCAUGUAACUUUCGAAAUGCAACCUUUAAAAACCUACCUAGGACACACGUUCGUAUCGCCUGGUCAUGUGUCACACAUGGCUGAGACGCACACCCGUGUGUCUGACCCUGUGAACGAAAAAUAGGACAUUUCCAAGCCCUUUUUCUCACCCAUUCAUGCACACCCCUAUAACCAAUUUACCAUAUGUAAUCAAGCAUUCCAAAGUACACCAAACCAUGUAACAACAAUUUAUCUAGAUAGGUACAUAAUCAUACAACCAAUAUGCACAAAAGGCACCUCAAUCACAAUAAUUAAACAUGUAUAACUAAACAUGUACAUAAUCAUACGCAAUUUGGUCACAUAUAAAUACAUCGUUUAUCAUAUUAAACUUUUUAUAACAUCAUAACGCAUCCCAAUUACGUACUUACCAUUUUGUCCCCUUUUCUUACUCAUUAGAUAUGCAUAGUACAAGCAUAAUAAUAAACAUCAAUCACAUCCACAAGCUUGGCAUAAGCCUAAGCACAUCAACAACAUAUGUUAGUUCAUUUGAACAUGAUUCAUAUGAAUUUAACAUGGAUAACCAUUAUACUUGAGCACAAUUCAAUUGGAUUUAUCAUCCAUCUCAAAAUAUAUCAUGUUUUUCAUAUAUCACCAUUUUAAUGAGUUUUUUGCAUACCUAUCUUAAUUCAUAUUGAGCAUUUACCAUUUCAUUUGCACAACACAUAUGACAUAAAUAUAGCAUUAACCAUAUACACAAGUUAGUGAAUAAACACAUAAUUUAGCAUAAAUCACAGCAUGAUAAAAUAACUUUCAAGAAUAUAGCUGUCGAUCAGAACGUAGCAGUCAGUCUACUCACACAAGCUGUCCAUCGGAACGUAGCUACACAGUGCUACUCACACAAGCUGUCAAGUAACUGUAACACAUGCCGGAAACUCAACCACCGAUAGGACAUGCAGGACCAGCACCCGAAACAUGGUAACCCCUAAUGACAUGUCAUUUGUAUCCUAUAUAUUCCUGAAGAUCAAAAGGGUUCAAUAGUCGUCGUACGUCAUUAAAUUUUUAUCGUUUCUUUACUUGAUAAAUUGUAUAAUUAACAUAUAUAUUUAUUAAUUUUCAAUAAAAUCAUAUAAUAACAUUCAAUUUAGCCAACAUUAUACAUAGUAUAGUUUAUACGAACUUACCUGGCUAUUUUCCAAAAAUGUAAAAGUACAGGGGCAUUUUGAUAAUUUCUAAUUCUCUUUGAUUUUCCACCCGAUCUUAAUCUAAAUUAAUAAUUUCAUUCAAUUUAUUAAUUUAGACGAUAAAACAAUAUGUUUUAUGCAAUUUAUUCUUUUUUUACUUUCUUACAAAUUAGCCAUUUUUAAUACAAAUACUUGCUAGUAAAAUAUUCAUGGCAUUAAAUACAAGCCAUUUACGCAGUAAUUUCACAAUAAACUCUUGUAUUUUUACUAUUUCAACAAUUUAGUCCCUAAUUGAACAUAAAAAAACCCUUAGCAAAAUACUUUUAAAUACCAACCAACAUUUUAAUUUCAUAAUUUAACAUAAAAAAUCACUAGAUUCAUCAAUGGAAACAUUCAAAAUCCUAAUUACAAUGAUCUCAAAAACAUAAAAAUUAAAAGAAACAAGGCUAAAAUGGCAUACCAAUUAAGCUUUUGAACAUGCCGAAACAUCCAAGCAAAAGAAAUGGCUUCUUCCCCCAUUUUCAAAUCGGUGAUGAAGCUUUGAAAAAUAUGAAUAAAAAUUUUGUUUUAUUUAUUUUAAUAUAAUUAUCAAAUUACCAUAUUAACCUUAGUUAAUAAUUAAAUAAAACAUCAAAUUCAUGUCCAUUAUUGUCCAUUAACACCUUGAAUGGUCUAAUUACCAUUUAAGUCUCAUUUCCUUUAUUCAAUUAACCAUUUAAUCACUCAAAUCAAAUAGUGAUUAAAUUUACAUCUUUUACAAUCUUUUUAAUUAAUUAACCAUCAAAACGUUAAAAUUUUUUGACGAAACUUUAAUACCACCUUAAUACCACUCUGUAAAUAUUUAUAAAAAUAUUAAGGGCUUGAUUUAUAGAAACAAGGACACAAUACCUCAUUCUCUAAAACCAUUUGACCUUAGGGUCUUACCACUUGAACUUAAUAAGUCACUUAAAUAACAUAAAUUAUCAAAUCAAAAACCUUUUUAAAAUCACAUUUGACUUGUAAAUAUUAAAUAAUAAUAUUUACUACUUACUCGUCGGAUUUGGUGGUCCCAAAACCACUAUUUUCGACACCACCAAAAAAUGGGCUGUUACACCUCUAACACUGCCCACAGAUACUAAUAGCUGACAAUCUUGGACUCUUUCUGAUCUAACGGACUUUGGGGUCGCUCUCUAAGGCUCUCAAGACUCUCUAGCUCACUUAGGUAAUGAAUACGAACUAGAAUUCUUUAUCCAGUUCCCGAAGGCUCGGGAGGGUUCAGUCCUAUUGUCAAGGCCCAUAGCCUACUCCACAAUCUUGGCUCAUUCAGUCAUGUCAGAAAAUUCUUUUAUUCUCUGGGAGACCAAUUGAACUCUAAGCUCAUUAUACAAUCCUCGAAGGAAUCCCUUACAACUUUCCUCUUUAUAAAUAUUAGAUUUAGAGCGUAUUUGUUGAACCAUGAAAAUUCACAUUUACAAUCAACUACUAAUAUCUCACCCUGUUUCAACAUCAUUCAUGCUUCUAAUCUUCCAAAUAUAACUCAUCGACGUACUUUUUCUAGAAUUCCUACUGAAAAAAUUCCCAAUUAAUUUGAUAAUUUAAAACAUGUUGGGUAACUAUUAGCCACCACUAAUAUGCCUCCUCUUUCAAGAGGGAAACUACGUACAUGACACAUUCAUGUGAAGAACACUCGAACUAUUGCAGUAACCAGUUUUUCGAUUCAAGCAAAGCCUUAUUUGUCUAUGGAUCAACCCUUUUCAAUCCUUUAAACUCAUUGGCACAGUCUUUUAGAACUCUUUUAUUAGAGAUCGUCCAACUACGAGUACUGAUGCAACUUGUAGAGUAGCUCUCGCCACUCACUGAAGAGCUUUCGCUAUAACGUAGAGUAAAUCUUCAUCCCUAACCCUCUAGUCAAUAUCUUACAACUCUAAACUGAUGAGCACCGGCUGAAUCAAUGCCAAGUGUCUCAAUCCCAAUUCUAUUUUUACUUUCAUCGGAAUGAUCAUUGCUAUAUACAUCAUCACUAGCCUUGUUUUUUUUAUUCCUCUAACAUCUUUAGCUAUAAAAUAGAAAAAAAAAUUAUAAUCAGUAUCUAAAUCUUGAACCAAACUUGACUCAAUUUUGGCAUAUACCUUUACACUCAAUUUUUGAGCUUGAUUUAAUCUUAAAUCUAGCUAAACCUACAGCUCUUAUACCAAUAAAUGUAACACCGUGAUACCUAAUCUAAUCAUCAGAUCCAAGUUACAAGGUGUUACAUUCAUUGUGAGAGCAAGUGCAAUCAAAAUUCGUAUGAUUCAUACCAUUAAUUUCAAUCAAAACAUGCAUGUAAUUCAUGAAACAACCAUUUUCAGGUCUUACGUGAGCUUAUGAAAGCUCUAAAACUAAAUCGAGAUAGAUUUAGGACCGAUUUAUAAAAAAUUCAAAACAUCAAGUUGACAUCACGAUGUAACAUAUUGAGUAGGCCUCGUCACAACAAUCGAACUCGGUACUAUGCCCUGGUAAGGCAACCUGGGCUUGUCACAACGACCACCAUUCAACACCAUAAUGUGACAUACUAUUUUCAAUUGGUUGAGUUUUGGUACAUGUUUGCCACCACCUAAAGCUUUUCAAAUUCAUUUGCAAUUAUAAAUACAACCAAAUUCAUAUACCUAAUGAGUUCCAUUAUGUCUAAAGUACCAUUUGUGCACCCAUACAUUCAUUCUUUUAAACAAUUUCAGUCAGUCCUUUAUUAAGCUAAUUGACAUUUAGUUACCUAUGCAUAUGAACACAUUACCAACUAUACUUCAAAACAUAACCAGCCAUAAGUUGUGACAUUCAUCAUUUUAUAUACAUAUAACAUAUGAGCAAUUCAAAAUACUAAUCUAACUCAAGCUAGGUACAUGAUGACUACCUCUCGACAUACUAUUGUCGAGAAUGAGAAUAUUACAACUAAAUAUGUAAAUUAAAGCGGUGUCUACAAGUAUACAGGUUAGGUUGUAAUAUAGUUUGUACAACAAAAUAUAGAAAGUACCUCGAUGAUUGUAUCCAAAAGAGGCUUGAUUAAAGUAAAAUUAGCUCCUACGCUAACAUGUUUAACUAGUACUUUAACCAAAUUAUAUUUCGACGAUUCAUAAAGUAAUGAUAAAAGUGAAUUUAAAAGGAAGAAUAAAAUAUUGACAGAAACAUGUUGUAAAUAUUAUCAUAUCUAAAGGUAGAAGACUAACUCGUUUCAGUGUUCAUAUUGAGCUCCUAUUUUAGGUUCUAUUCAAUCAGCUAGUCAUUAGCCUAGUAGGGCCACUCGCCUUUCCACAAACCUAAUGAAUCGGUAAGCACUGCUUAUCUCUCAAUGUCACAAGUCAGAUUGGGUCAGGGUAAGGUUUUUGAUCUGUCUUAAUUCAGUGUAGCAUACUAAACUAGUUUUCACACUUUAAAAGCUUGAAAUUAAGCAUUAUCAUUAAGAUUUAAUUAUGUUUUAGUAUGUUUUGUUAAAAUCAAUAAAAUGGGAAAAAAUGAGUCAUUUAUUGACUUUAGGGGCCAAAUGAGGCCUAAGGGUGAGCUAAUGAACUUCAUAAAUGUGUAGGAGACCAUUAGAAGGUGUAACAAACAUAUGCUGGUCACUAUGUCGCAACAUGGAAUGCUCAAUGUCGCAACAUAGGGAGCAGAAUGGAGGAAAUCACAAGACUACUUUCGAUGUUAUGACAGCACUUAAGGAUGUCACUACAUACCCCUGAAGGUAUCCAAAAGGGGAGUAUACUGAUUCCUAUAUCCCGACACAGGUUCUGGUAUAUUGCGACAUUGACUCUGGACGGUAAAUAACAAGAGCCAAGGGGCGUUUUGGUUCGUACAAUUAAACUUAAAGUUGGGAAAAGUCAGCUAACCUAGGGUUAAAGAGAAAGACCACUUAAAAUCUAUACAUACGCUCCUUUGUCACAUGUAAAAGACACCAAUUACUUAGCUUAGUUUUCUGCUUUUAAUUUCAGUUUAUCUUUUCUUCCUUUUUAGGUUUUAGAUUUAUUUUCAAAUUGUCCUUGUUUAUCUUGAUAGAUCUGAUUUGUGGAGACGGUUAAACUCUGUGGAUUCAAUUUAUUCUUAAUACAAAUUAAGCAUUUUCUUAAACUCUACACUUCAAUUCAAUUAUCAUGUUUUGUCUUUAUAUCAAUUCCAUAUUGUUUAUGAAAACCAUGAGAAACUAAUCCUUCUUUGAGGGAUUAACGAGUGGAGGUAUGAUCCAUUAUCUAUUUUACAGGGUUACUCAACGGAUCAGCUAUUUGGAAAAGGAAAAACUUAAAAGCCUAGGAUUGACAACCAUAGGAAGUAAUCAAGGUGGGAAUUAACCCAAAACUGGUAUGGUCUAUCCGUGAACACUUUCACCCUAAACCAGUCUGGACUGUGAGGUCAAAAGAUAAGUAGUUCUUACUGAGUCAUUAUUUGAGUGGAAGAUCGAAAGAUCCUAUUGGGAUAUUAACUAGUUGAUUGAUGAGGAACAUGAAGUGACAGUUGAUGGGAAAUACCGAAACGAGCUAAUAAUCCAUAACCAGAUUUGAUUUAUCCUAUUCUUUGAUCUCUUGAAGUUUAUUUCUUUAUGUUAUUUUAUUUUGUUAUUAUAAAAAAAUCUUAAAAAUUCUCUUUUAUUACCAUCAUACUAUAACUAAAUUAAAGUACUAAUUAGAUCUUUUAGUGUUUACAUUAAAAUUGAUACAACACUCGCCUCCCUUGUGUACAAUCCUCAGAGUACUCACCUACUCCGUUAUAACUAUAUUACAACUAGACCUAUAUACUUGCGGAUACCACCUCAUAUAUCUAUAUCUUUUACUGCAAUAUUCAUACUCUGCACGUUAGUACAUCUGAAAGCAGUCAAUUUUCACAGUAGAAUAUACUGAUUACGGGUUCAUAUCUACCUACAUGACUUCCUACGGUUGUCAAGCCUAGGAUUUAAUUUUUUUUCUUUUCCCUACCAAUUGAUCCGCUAAGAAACCUUACAUAGUUGCCAACUAAUCCCACAUCCACCUGUUAAUCUUCCUAAGGGAUUAGCUACUCAUAUAUCUAACAAACAUCAUAAAUUAGAAUUGGAAUAUAAACAUUUACAAAAUCAAAUAAAAAGAUUAAGAAGAUCCUUAAUAUAUUGAAGCUCAAAAUGCAAUCCUUAAUAAUCUCAAAUGAAUCCACAAUUUGAAUAUCUUUAAUAACAAAACAAGAAUGGAACUAAAAUUUAAAAGUAAAACCUAACAAAAGAAUGACAAUGAUACUAAAAUGAGGCAAAAGUCUCCUUAAGCAGUUCUGAGCAAUAACUUUAUAGACCUAGGUUAACAGUCUUUUCUUGACCUAAAAUGGGUGACUAACCUUCAUUAAAUUAUGUUGUGUGAAUGAAAACACCCUUGAUCAAUUAAGUGGCCACAUCGUAUUGGUGUCGUAACACUCUCAUGCUUGUGUCGCGACAUUGAUGACAGAUUGCUUCUUAGGGUGUCGUUUCAAGGUUGUGUUGCGACAUACUCAGUAGACUGCUCAUUGUGUAUUCUUCUUUUUGUGUUCUGACAUCCCAGCUCCAUUGUGGCCCACUGUCUUUCUAUCCUAAAGUGAUGUCCUAUACACUCACCUAACAUGUUAGUCCACCUUUAGGCAAAAUUCGGUUUACAAGGUCUUAUAAAAUACCUAAAUUGCUCACUUUAUUACCUAAUUGCUAUGGAUAAAAACCAAGUAAAAACAUAACUAAAUUGCUUUUUAACAAGCUCAUUAAGUACAAAAGAGGUUUAAUCUGCUACGACAAAUUAUGGUAGAUCACAUGUCGUGUAACCAAUAAAAGGAAAUUAUAUAAACAUUUUUUAGUCUGGGAUCUUUAUCUGGAUGUUAAAGUUGAUACUCAAGAACUUGAUAUAAACCUAACCUGCACAUGAAAAACAAAUUGUACGCUGUGUAACACCCCUAACGCGUAUCCUUCUCCAGAAUAGGGUUAUAGAGUGUAACAGCCCGAUUUCGACUCUAAUCGGACAUAGUGGUUUUGGGACCACAAGUCCGAGUCAAAAAAAUAUUUUAAUAUUAUUUUGUGUGUUUAUUAUGUGUGAAUUUAAUUGUAUAAAUUUUCGUGUUUUAAUUUCGUCGUUUGAGUGUCAGAUUAAAUAAAAGGAUUAAAUCGCGUAAAAUAAAAAUUUAAUGGUUAAAUGUGAAAGUAUCUAUUUGUUUGUUGUUGUCUUUAUAAUUUGGAGGAUUUAAGAAGCAAUUAGUCCACCAUUAGGUGAGUGGAUGGCAAUGGUCAAGAAUGACCUUAUAAUAUGUGUUAUAUAUUAUAUUUUAACAAAGGUUAAUUAAGUAAAUUAAAUAUUAUGGUUAAUAUAUGUUAAAUAUAACAAAUUUAAAACCAUGUUCUUCAUCUCUUUUUUUUACCGAAACUAAGAGAGAAAAAUAAGGGUUUAAAGCUUUGGAAUAUUUGGCACUUACAAAGCUUGAUUAAUGUAUGAAUUUUGUUCGAUUUUUGUUAAUUUUUACGUUUUUGAGAUCGUUGCUUUGAAUACUUGAAAUAUGCCAUUGAUGAAUGCUUGAACAUUGUGAUAGUUGAUGAUGAAAAAUGAAAGAAAUGUGAUAGAUUAACAUGUUUUGUUUUUGAAUUUUUAGUGAAUUUGAGAAAUUAGAGCUAAAUUGUGAAAAUGAAUUUUUUGAGGGAUUAAAAUAUGAAAUAAAUGAAAUGUGUGGACUUGUAUGAAGAUAAGGAACAUUCGGCCCUAGCUUGGUGUGGGCAAAUUUUGUGUAUUUUGUGUUUUGUGCAAAAAGGACUAAAUUGCAAAAAGUGUAAAAUGUUAGGGGCAAAAUGGUAAUUUGCCCAUUUAUGUAUUUUUGGAUUUAAUUGAAUGUUUUGAUGAAUAAAAAGGUUAAAUUUGAAUAUGAUUAAGAUCGAGAAAUGAAGAAAACGGAUUUGGAUCGGGGAAAAAUGAAAGUAGUUGAAUAGUCGAUCGUGUCCGCUGAUAUUCGAGGUAAGUUUAUUAGCUAUUUAAUUUUAUUAAAUCAGUUUAUAUUACAUGUAUGAAUAUCAAAUGUAUUUAUGUUGAGUUAAAAUUAAAAGUAUAUAAAUCAAAUGAGAAGUAUGAAAAUUAUGUAUAUAUAUGUGUUAGGUUCGAAUGAGUAUGAAUAUACAAAUAUAUAUACAUCAAUGUCUUUGUAAAUAAUUUGGGUAUGGAACUAUAGGCAUGUGAUGUAUUCGAACAUAUGUAUGUAUAUAUGUCAAUAAAGUUUUAAUUUAGUUAAUGUUAAUUGUUUUAUAUGUUUACAUGAUGUUCGAAUAGAUAUAUAUAUAUAUAUAAAGAUAUAUAUAUGUAUCAAAUAUUUGUAUAAGUUGGAUUGAAUAAGCAUAUAUAUAUAUGUGAAUAAAUAAUUAUAUUGAGUAUAGGUAUGAAAUUAUAUUUAUAUAUGUGUGUGUUAAUUUCGAAUAUGUAUGUGUAUAAUGUAUAAAAGUACAAGUUCUUGUUUCGAAUAUAAGCAUAUAGUAAUAUAUAUUUGUUAGUUUCGAAUAUGUAUAUAUGUACAUGUAUAAGAUCUUGUAUUGAAAAGGUAUAUGAAAUUAUAUAGGUAUAUAUGGAAUUCAAAUGUUAAAAGUACAUAGGAUAUUAUAAGUUAAAUCUUAUGAUAUUAGUAGUGGAAUCUAAAGUAUGAGGUUAUAUAUAUAUAUAUAUAUAUAUAUAUAUAAAUGUGUUUCGGUUGAAUUAUUGAAUUAUUUAAGUUAGAUUUGAUGAUUGGGAUUUAUAUAUAUCCAUGUGUUUUAAAGAUAUAAGUUAUGAAUAUUGAGCUGAAUUUUAUGUGGAUUUUAUAUACAAAUAUGAGAUACAACUUCUGUGAAUUGAGAUUCUUUUGUUAAAGCUCAAUACCAAUCGGAUUUAUUGCCAGUGAAAUUAUUCAGACUAUACGUCUAGCAGGCUAAGUGCCGGUGAUCUGAUUCAGGUUAUAAACCUAGCAGGCUAAGUGCCAGUGAUCUGAAUCAGGUUAUAAACCUAGCAGGCUAAGUGCCAGUGAUCUGAAUCAGGCUAUGAGCCUAGCAGGCUAAGUGCCGGUGAAUCUAUUAAAUUAAGUGAUUAUAUGCAUUUGAUAUAUAUAUAUGAUUUUGGUUAUAUGUAAUGGAUAAGUUUAUGAACAUUUAUUUAUAUGUAUUUGAUGAGCAUAUAAAUGUUUGGAUCUAUGUGUUUAGUGAAUAGGCACAUAUAUUGGUUGUUAUGAAAAUUGUUGAAUAUACAUGUAUGCAUUCGGCACAUGUGGAUUAGAAGUAUAAAUGUGCAUUUGGUUCAUGUAGUUGAUAAGUAAAAAUAUAAGCUUUUGACUUAUGUAUUUGAAAGAUCAUAGAUAUGCAUUCGAUGAAAUGCAAAUGAUAAGUAUAUUAGAAAUUACUAUAUGCAAUUAAUGAUUAUAUCUGUAACUUGAUUAUAAGCAUAUAAUGUUUAUACAUAUGUUCGUUUAUAUGUAUUUUAGAUAUGCUAUAAACUUACUAAGCUAUAAAAGCUUACUUUGAUUGUUUUUGUCCAUUUGUUUUUUAGUUAAAAACCAAGCUGCAGACUCGGGGAUUGUUAGCGAAGAUCAUCACUCUAUCUACUAUCUCAGUAUUAAAACGUUUAAAUUUUGGGAGUUGUACUUUAAUGUACUGUAUAUAUAUAAUUAAUAGCCAUAUGAAACUAGCUUAUUUUUCUUACAGUUUAACUGAACUGAAGUGUUAUGUUUUGUUAUAAAAGGUUAAAGUAAAAUUUAUAAUUAUACUUACUUCAUAUUUGACUAAUUUAAUAUAAAUGUAAAAUUCUUGAAUUCUACUGAAUGUCUGUGUUAAGUUGCGUUUUAUUUGGUAACUCUUCGUAACCCUAAUUUAUCGACGUAUACGGGUUAGGAGUGUUACAUAGAGCAUUACCGGAGUUUAUAAAUUAAUUUUCAGACAUUUCAUUUCAUCAAGCAUUCAUAUUUAUGACCAAUUAUAAUCAAAACAUUUAUGAGCUAACAUUAACCAAUUUAACUUAUACAAGUCAUUAUAACUAAAUCAAAUCAUCCAAAAUUACCAAUAGAACCAAUGGAUAAUGUGAUAUAUCUCCAACAAGCUUCCAACCCAAUCGAGCUUCCGAUAAUCAUUUAAAUGCAUCAAAUAAUUAUACAUAUUACCAAUAAUAAUUCGAUUCCAAUAAUAAAACACACACACAUAUAUAUAAUAUUCAUUACCAAAUAGCAUUCACUUCAAUUAAAAUUAUAUAGAAUAUAGCUCAUACGAGCUCACCGGACUAAAUUGCAGAAUUACCAAAAUUCAGGAACAUUUUGGAAAUUUUCUAUUUUUCUCAUAUUUCCACCCAAUAUUGUUCUAAAUUUCAUUCAAAUUUGUAAUUUAGAUAAAUAACCAAUCCAUUUAAUGCAAUUUGGCCACUUUUUGACAUUUUUACAAAUUUACCCUUAAAGUUUCACAUUUGUUCAAUUUAGUCCCUGAACCUAAAACAUGUAAAUUGGUCAUUUUUAAUGAAAACUCAUGCUAGUUAAAUAAUCAUAUAUUUUCCUCCUCCUCCUCUCCAUUCCACAUCCUUAAUGUAUAUAACAUGCUUAUAGGUAAUAUUAUAUAUAAUUUCACCAUUUACUUAUAUAUAUUCAUUCAAAGCUGUCCACUUGAGUCGUAGUCACUAAAUUAUUUAUAUCUUGAGAUACAGAACUAAAAAUUAAGAUCCGUAAAUUUUAUCUGAAAUUAUACUCACAUAUGUUCUUACCAUAAAAUUUUCAAAAUUUUUUCCUUAGCCAAUAAGUACAGUUUAUUCUUUAAAGUCAUCCCUAUUCUGCUGUCUAACAGUUCUGACCCUUCUUCACUAAAAAUUAAUUAUAUCCUCGUACAGAAUUCUAAUGAUGUUUUCGUUUGUUUCUAUUGAAAAUAGAGUCAUUAAGGAUUUAAACAUAUAAAUUUAAGCCUCUAAUUAUUUUUAUCCAAUUUUUGAUGAUUUUCCAAAGUCAGUACAGGGGAACCCGAAAUCAUUCUGACCUUGUCUCACAAAAUUUAUUAUAACUCAUGAUUUACAAUUCUAUUGCUUACACCGUUUCUUCUAUAAGAAACUAGACUCAAUAAGAUUUAAUUUCAUAUUUUAUUCAUCCUCUAAUUAGAUUUUCAAAAUUUAUGGUGAUUUUUCAAAGUUAACCUACUGCUACUGUCCAAAACUGUUUUAGUGCAAAAUAUUGAUUAUUAAGUUUAUAACACUCUUAUUUUCCUUCUCUAUACUAUUUCUCAUCACUUUCUCUUAUUUUCUCUUCACUAACAUAUCAAGAACAUAAAUCCUUAUAUAAUAAAACCCUACAUUAACAUCAAUUUCAUACUUUUUCAAUAAUAUCAAACUCAAAAAUAUAUUGAAAUCUUUAUGCUCUUACCUUGCUCAAUUGAUUUCAAUCUUUAACUUGAUUUUCUCUCUCCUCCAGCCUCUAUUUCUUGAAUCUAACUUGAUAUUCUAGCUCCCCAUAGUCUCAUUGUUAUCUUUCUCUCUUGAUGGAUAUGGAAAUUCUUUUGAUUUUUAGGUGAAAAUGGUAACUUUUUUUGAAGGAGGGACCAAAUUGUAAAGAAAGCAAAACUUUCUUUCUUUCUCUCUUCUCCUCACGUUGGAUGCAUGGAAGAUGAUGGGUUGGUUGGUUUGUUUUUUUAACCUUUCUUUCCACAUAUAUAUACUAAACAAUAAAAUAAUAAAAUAAUAAAAUAUUAUUUAAAAAUCAAACUAAAAUAUUAAUAAACUAAUAUUUAUUUAUUUAUUUAAUCUAAAAUAUCUCCAACAUCAUCAUUAUCUUCUAGAUUUCUCUCUCUUCUAAAUGACCAUUUUGCCCUUUAAGAUAUUUUAAAAUUCCAUCUUUGAGUCAUCACUUAAUUUGGUAAAAUUACGAUUUAGUCCCUCAAAAUUCUUCCCCUUUUCAAUUUGGUCCUAAUCCAUCCAUUUUUCUUAGUUUCUAGAUCACUCCACCCUUAAAAAUAUUUACACAUUUGGCGAGUUAUUUGUUUUAGUGGACCCUUCUGCUAGUGAAUCCACCACCUGUGAAAUUCUAGUGUUGUGAACUCGUUAGUCUAUUUUAGAACUAGCAGCAAGUGGGACACGUAUUAGUUAUGUUUCAAACCUUAAGAAAAGAGCAUGUUAUUGUACGUGAAACCUAGAGAGCCUCGUAUGAUGUGAUUAAUUAGUGGAAUCGUGUAUGCAUGAUUUGUGAUUAGAGACCCUGAUUACAGUGGAAUAUAGAUUAAAAUUUUCCUAUAAAUAGGACAAAAUAAAAAUGGAGAAAGGACUUUACCUUCUUUUUCUCUAUUCAUAUUCGUUAUUUCCGAAGAAAAAACUUAGAGUGUUCUUCAUUUGUAGAAGGAACCAAUUGUUGUGUAGAAACUACCAUUUCCAAGCCAGGUGUUGGUAAAUAAUUGAGACUUUCUUUAAUUUAAUACUAGGAAAUGAUUGGGUAGUGGGAAUCAUUUAUUAGGGUUUUACCAGAACUACUAGACAAAAGGAAAUUUCCUUUUGAAUAAAUGAUUGCGUGUUACUAAUUCUUAUUUUUUGUUAAAGUUUCAAUUGUUUAUGUAUAUUAAUAGUAGUGUUUGAUUAUUUUAGCUUAAAGAAACAUGAGAAGGGCCUAGUUUGAAAGGGAAAGAACCCGUUGCAUAGAUAAAGUUUUGUUUGAAGAUCCCUGGUGUGUUUCAUUUCACAUUCUGUUUAAUGAAUAUUCAAACCUACUUAAAAAUAAUACCAUCUAUCUAGGUAAAGUAGUCACUACUCUAAGUGUUGUGGAACCUGCAUAAAGUUAAUUCCUGUAACAAAUUAACCUUAUAAAAAGAAAGUUAUCAACCUAUAUGAGCCAUUCAAUGACUAUUAUGUGUGACAUUGCAUGUGCAUUUUUUGAAUGGUAAACUAUGAAAAUAAAGCUUAAAUAAAUGUGCAUGUUUGAGUGAAAUGAAUACUCCUUCUUUGGUGUACAAGCUCAGUAUCUCAAAAGGUGAAAAGGGGUAAUGGAGGCGACUGAUGUGGUAUAUGUUAAAUAAACUUAAAUGAAAAGUUAAGAGUUAUGUAAGUGAAAGGUCAAGAGUUGAAAGGUCAAGAGUUAUGUUGUUUUUUUAAUGGGUUUAAAUUAGUAGUUUUUGUUUAGGAGAAUGAAAGGUCAAGAGUCAUUGGUUAUUAUUAGAUUUUAAUUUUUUUUAAAGGGUUAUCUAUAAUCUAUAAAUAUUUUGUAAGCAUUUUAUAUGAAUGUGAAAAAUUUUACAUUAAGAACAAUUUUAUCAAAUUAGUAUCUGAGCUAUGGAGAGUGUGACUAGUAAUGUGCCAUUGCCUCGACUAAUAAAGGUGAACUAUGAGAAUUGGAGCAUCCAAAUCAAAGCUCUGCUCGGGUCUCAAGAUGGUUGGGAGGUGGUCCAAGAAGGUUUCAUCGAACCAACAACUACUGCGGGAUAUACGGCGGCUCAAAACAAGGCGUUGAAAGAAAUGCGAUUGAAAGAUAAGGCGACAUUGUACAUGUUAUUCCGAGCUGUUGAUGAGUCGGGCUUUGAAAAGAUUGCAAGUAUGACAACUUCAAAAGAAGCGUAGGACAUUUUAGCAAAGGUGUACAAAGGAGCUGACCGAGUUAAACAAGUCUGCCUUCAAACCCUUUGUGGUGAGUUGGAAGGCAUGAAGAUGAAGGAAUCGGAAGGUGUCUCCGACUACAUCACUCGUGUUCAAACCGUGGUGAACCAACUCAACCGAAACGGAGAAGCGUUAACCGAUGCACGAGUUGUGGAGAAGAUUUUGAGAUCGUUAACUGACAAUUUCGAGAAUGUUGUAUGUGCCAUAGAAGAGUCAAAAGAUCUAGCAACGCUCACAGUCGAUGAACUCGCCGGUUCUCUCGAGGCACAUGAACAACAUAAGAAGAAGAAGAAAGAGGAGGCACUCGAGCAAGCACUUCAAACCAAGGCAUCAAUCAAAGACGAAAAAGUUCUCUAUUCUCAAAGCUUUCGAGGUAGAGGCCGUAGUCGUGGAGAUCGAGGAAAUGGUCGUGGUGGAAAAGGUCAUCGUCAAGAAGGGAAUUAUGAGGAGAAGGAGCAUUCAAACCAAAAAAAUUGGCGUGGAAGAAAACGUGGUCGUGGAAGAGGCAGAUGGUCGAAUUAUUCCAAUGUCGAGUGCUACAAGUGUGGCAAAUAUGGUCACUAUGUGAAGGAUUGUAACUCUGAUAAGUGUUACAAUUGUGGUAAGGCAGGACAUUUCGCGAAAGAAUGUCCCAUCUCAAAAAAGGUGGAAGAGACAACCAACCUAACCACGGAAAAUGAGAAGGCAAAAGAAGGUUUUCUCUUGAUGGCACACAACGAAGUCAACAACAACAACAACAUGGUAUGGUACCUUGACACGGGUGCAAGUAACCAUAUGUACGGGCAUAAGCACUUAUUCAAAGAGAUGCGAAAGGUUGAAAUGGGACAUGUGUCAUUUGGAGAUGCAUCAAAGGUUGAGGUAAAAGGCCAAGGUACCGUUUGUUAUUUACAACAAGAUAGGUUAGUUGGGUCAAUCCAAGAUGUGUAUUACGUACCAGACCUUAAAAGCAACAUUUUGAGUAUGGGGCAACUCAUGGAAAAAGGUUAUUCGGUAUUUAUGAAAGAUCGGGUGUUACACUUGAAAGAUAAGGAAUGGCGUUUGGUCGCUCUAGUUGAAAUGGAGAGAAAUCACAUGUACAAGUUGAAUUUGAAAAGUUUUCAAGGAAAAUGUUUGCGAGUCGACGUUGAAGACAAGGUGUCAUUAUGGCAUCUCCGUUUUGGCCACUUACAUUAUGGUGGUCUAAACGAGUUAGUGAAGAAGAACAUGGUGCAUGGGCUACCAGACAUGGACUAUGAGGGAAAAUUUUGUGAAGAAUGUGUGCUUGGCAAGCAUGCGAGAAUUUCGUUUCAAAAGAAAGCAGAAUAUCGGGCUAAGCAACUUCUCGAAUUGAUUCAUACCAACAUAUGUAGACCAAUCACCCCCGAAUCUUUUAGUGGUAAAAGGUAUUUCAUUUCUUUUAUCGAUGAUUUUUCACGAAAAACUUGGGUUUAUUUUCUUAAAGAAAAAUCUAAGGCAUUCGAGGUGUUCAAGAAGUUCAAAGUGAUGGUGGAAAAAGCAACUGGUAGACACAUCAAAUCUGUACGAUCUGGUAGAGGUGGCGAGUAUACUUCGACGGCUUUCAUGGAGUAUUGUGAGGAGCAAGGCAUAAGACGGUUCCUAAUCGCACCGUACUCUCCCCAACAAAAUGGUGUGGCCGAGAGGAAGAAUCAGACUAUUCUCGACAUGGUUCGAUCAAUGCUCAAGAGCAAGAAAAUGCCGAAGGAAUUUUCGGCGAAAGCCGUGCAAUGUGCCAUCUAUGUGCAAAAUCGAUGUCCACAUGCGAAGUUGGAUGAUCAAACACCACAAGAGGCUUAGAGUGGACAAAAACCAUCAGUUUCUCAACUCAAGGUAUUCGGUAGUGAGGCCUAUGCACAUGUGCCGGAUCAGCGAAGAACGAAGCUCGAAGACAAAAGCAAAAGGUUUAUUUUUAUUAGGUAUGAUGAGAAAACAAAAGAUACAAGCUACUCGACUUGAUAAGUAAGAAGGUUGUGGUAAGUCGUGAUGUACGAUUCAAUGAAGCAAGCGAGUGGGAUUGGAAUAACUCAACGGAGGUUAUCAUCAAAGAUGGAGGAUCAUCAAUUGCUACACCAACUAAAACUAUCGAUGAUGAAGAUGAACCGCAACAACCAAAAAUGUGAAGUUUGCAGAUUUUGAGAAUAUAAGUUUUGAAGAGGCAGUGCUAGACAAGAAGUGGCAAACUGCUAUGGACGAGGAGAUUAAAGCAAUUGACCGUAACAACACAUGGGAGUUAACAGAAUUACCGAAAAGAAGUCAGCCCAUUGGUGUGAAGUGGGUGUUCAAAAGAAAGAUGAAUGCUCAAGGUGAGUUAGAACGGUACAAGGCACGACUUGUUGCAAAGGGAUAUAAGCAAAAGGAGAGGAUCGAUUAUGACGAGGAAUUUGCUCCCGUUGUAAGAAUGGAGACAAUCCGAUUGCUCUUUGCACAAGCAGCUCAAUUUAAAUGGCAGAUAUUUCAAAUGGAUGUCAAGUCAGCAUUCUUGAAUGGUGUGCUCGAAGAAGAAGUCUACAUCGAACAACCACCCGGGUACAUAAAAAAUAGAGAGGAGAAGAAGGUGCUGAAAUUGAAUAAGGCACUUUACGGGUUGAAGCAAGCACCGUGGGCAUGGAAUAAUCGUAUCGAUACAUACUUCAAGGAGAACGGGUUCAAACAAUGUCCUUAUGAACAUGCCCUCUACGUGAAGAAGAAUGGAGGUAAUAUGUUAUUUGUUGCUCUUUAUGUCGAUGACCUCAUUUUUAUGAGGAACAAUGGUGAGAUGAUACUAGAUUUUAAGAGCAAGAUGACACAAGAAUUCGAGAUGACAGAUUUGGGUUUAAUGAAGUAUUUCCUUGGUUUGGAGGUUAGACAAGAAGAGAAAGGUAUUUUUGUGUCACAUGAGGCAUAUGCAAAGGAAAUUUUGAAGAAAUACAAGAUGGCACACUGCAACCCGGUAUCAACACCAAUGGAUCCAGGUGUAAAACUCUCGAAAUUCGAUGGAGGAGAACAAGUCGACCCGAGCAAAUACCAGAGUUUGGUGGGAAGCCUUCGCUAUCUCACUUGCACAAGGCCUAACAUUUCGCUAAGUGUUGGCAUUGUAAGUCGAUUCACGGAGGAACCGGUUUAUUCACAUUGGAAGGCGUUGAAGCGAAUCCUAUGGUACAUUCAAGGAACGGUGUCACUCGGGUUAUUUUAUUCAAAUAUGGAAGAUUACAAGUUGAUUGAGUAUUCCGACAGUGAUUGGUGUGGAGAUUUAGACGAUCGAAAAAGUACACCGGGAUAUGUGUUCUUUUUGGGUAACACGAUGUUUACUUGGCUUUCAAAGAAGCAACCAAUCGUGACACUCUGGACAUGUGAAGCUGAAUAUGUGGCAGCAUCUUGGUGUGUGUGUCAUGCUAUAUGGCUCAGAAAUUUGUUGGACGAGUUGGAGCAACAACAACUUGGUGCAACUGAGACAGGAGUUGACAAUAAAUCAGUGAUUGAUUUGGCAAAGAACGUAGUGAAUCAUGAGAGAAGCAAACACAUUGACAUUCAUUUUCAUUUCAUCCGAGAUCAUGUAAAGAAAGGAAGUGUGAAAUUAGUGCACGUGGCAAGUCAAGACCAAGUCGCGGAUAUCUUCACAAAACCGCUACCGAUGGUACUCUUCGACAACUACAAGAAAUUAAUCGGCAUUGAGGAUGGCAGAAGCAUUUAAGUUUACAGGGGAGUUUUGUUAAAUAAACUUAAAUGAAAAGUUAAGAGUUAUGUAAGUGAAAGGUCAAGAGUUGAAAGGUCAAGAGUUAUGUUGUUUUUUUAAUGGGUUUAAAUUAGUAGUUUUUGUUUAGGAGAAUGAAAGGUCAAGAGUCAUUGGUUAUUAUUAGAUUUUAAUUUUUUGUUUUAAAGGGUUAUCUAUAUUCUAUAAAUAGUUUAUAAGCAUUUUAUAUGAAUGUGAACAAUUUUACAUUGAGAACAAUUUUAUCAGUAUAAUGAUGGGAGAAUAAAAUGGAGAAACUGAUUAUUUCACCUCUGGUAUUGCAUAUGAAUGCAAAUCAAGACUGGUGAAAGGCCCUAGCCUUGCGAGGGAAUACGUGAGUGUUCGAGUUAACGAGGAUUUGUGGGGGUUCGAUUGGUUAAUCAAAUUACUAGCUACACAGAACAAUAUCGUGAAAAUGGAAUGUUAGCUUUUUAGAGUGUUUAAAGGAUCAAAAGCUAGCAUAAGGAAGGGCGUAUCAAUGUGUAUGAAUGUUUAUAAGUGUUCUUGCAUGAACUGUAUGCAGUUACGUUGGAUUCUAUUGUAAAUGGGUAGUUAAAUAUUGCAUGCAAAUAGAAGUUAAUAAUGACACGUACUCACCAAAGACUAGUUCUUAGACGCGGAUAAUACCCGCUAUCUAACAGUACUUCUCUAGCGCUAUUUAUCUUCCAACAUAUAUUACGUAAGUGUUAGGUUAUGUACGCCUGUAAGUUGUAUAAUAUAAACUAUCUAAGUUGUUUUAACAUAUUGUGUUCACUUGAUCGAAUGGUCGUUCCUUAUCUCGAAACUCACUAAGUUCUUUUAAACUCACUCGCUUCUUUUUUUCCCCAUUUUCAAGUGUUUUAAGUAUGGGUGGACUAUUCUUGAAAGGACUUAGCCAGAAAGAGACUUCUUUUGUUAGCUGCCUAUUUUAUUGUUUUGUAACAUGUAAUUAUCAGGGUAGUGUAGCAUAUAGUUCCAAAAAUACCUUAACCUAAAAAAAACAUUGUAUUUUUUCAGUUUGGUUUGUACUUAUGACCGUUGCAACGUUUGAAAUGAAUAUUGUAGCAUUUCGCCAAAAAUUUCAACUGUGGCAUACCACCAAUAUUAUCAAAAUCACAAAAUCCAUAUUUCGCCAAACGACAAUUCAAUGAGUUUUUACUAUAGAGUGGUGUACCGUGAAACACUUCUAUUUUUCAAAGAUAUUGUGUACCAUUAUAAAUGUCUGUAGGUAACGCUGUGAUUCUUUGGUCAACCAGUGAAACUUGGGAUGUUAUAGUUUUAACACAUUCAACAAAAUCCACAUUACAAUUUCAAAAUUGAAUCAAUCAUUCCUUGUCUAACCAUAUCGGCCCUUAGGCUCGUUAGCUGGUUCACAUAGUCUUUCAAAUGCUAUCGGUAAUCAACUAUCAUUUAUAAAACAUGUAAUACUACGUAAUAACUUUUAAUUAUCUUUAAGUAUCAAUCAACCAAGUCACAAUUUAUAUUCCCUGUUAAUAUGACUCAGACUCGAACAGGUACAUGAAUCCAAAUCAGCACACCAAUUUAUCAUUCAGUGUUUAAUCGGAACAUUCGAAGUGAAUAAAUUGUGUCUAGUGCUCAUCAAUAUAAUUGAAAUAAAAGUUGUGCCCUACACUCAUCUGAACAUCCGAAAGAAAAUACGUCCAGCGCUCAUCAACAUAUAGUCAAAGUAACCCAUACUCAAUCUAUCUUAUGAGAUGCCAAUUAUAUCCGACUCUACCUAAACAAUUAAUAAGGUAACCAAUUUUUUAAUUUCAUUAUAAAUCUUCUCAUUAUUUCAUUCUUAAUAUAUCAUCAACUUAUCAUUUCAUCAAUUCAAAUAUCAUGUUUCUGCUUAAUUUCAUACAUAAUAUCAUAAAUCAUAAGUUAGACUACUUUUCAUUUUAUUCAAUUUAGUCAUUUAUCUCUAUAAUUUAUCAAAAUCAUACCAAUUCAAUUCCAGUACCUAUUUUAAACUCACCUCAGUAUUGUACCAAGCAAAACAUCAUGAAUGUGCAAUAAAUAGAUUGAUUCAAAUUAUAGAAAUACAAAUCAAAAAUUCGAGUCGCUCGACGUCAGGUUUUGCCUUUUCUUUCCCUCUCGACAGCCUCAAAUCGUCUUUAGCUAUGAGUAAUAAUCCAACAAUAAAGAAUUUCAAAUUCCAUAUCAAAUCACAUUCAAUUACAAAGUCACACACAUUUUGUAUUUUAUUCAAUUUAGUCUCAAAAAUUGAGACAAGCAUAACUUCUGAUUUAGACCUCCAAAUUGAAAUUCGAUUUCACAUUUAAUCAUUAGGGACCUCCUACUUCCUAUUCCUACUGAAAUUUUGUGAUAAUUUUUCAUUUGAUUCAAUUUGGUCUAUAAUGUACGAAACCAUCAAUUAAGCUUUAUAAUUUACUCAUUUUUCUUAAACUAAGUUUAAUUUCUAUCAAUUUAACACCUAAAUCAUUCAAUUCUCAACAAUAGAAGCUUUCUAAAACUUUAACAAUUUCUUACAUUGUUACAUGAGCUAGCUAAAUUAAGCUCUCAUGACCUCAAAUCUAUAAAAAAAGUACAAGAAAAAGGGCCUAAAUAAGCUUACCAAAUUAUGGCCAAAUGUUUCAAGCUUGGAAGGUUUCUUUAAUUAAAAAAUGGUGGAAAUUUUAGGUGAAGAAGAAAGAUGAUAUAUUUUCUCUUUAUUUCCACCAAAUUCUCACUUUUAUACAUGAUUUAAUGUUUGAUUAACUUUAGUUAAUUAUGCUUUAAUUAUAAUUAAUCUUAAGUUUACUUAUUUAAUCAAAUACCAUCUUGCCAUCCACUAUAGAAUACUUAAAAAUGAUUUAUUAACCAUUUUGGCCCUUUGGAUAAUUACAAUUUAAGUCCUCAAGUCUUUUCCUAUUUAAUAUUUAUGGAUUUGGUUUACGAAAAUGGGUCUUGAAACCACAUUUUUCGAUACCACUAGAAAUCAGAUCGUUAUAGUUUGUAAGUCAAUAAUAAUCCUUAGCACAUACUACUACAUUACGGAUAACCACCCAUGCAAUUCACUGUAAGACGCAUCACAAUCUCCGUACAAUUACUCAAUAUCUUUUGUUUGGCCUACCAUGGUUUCCUGUAUGACAUUCUGUACUGAAAUCAAGAUUGCAUGUUGACAAUCAGGACCGAUAUAGGAAUGAUGGGCAUGUCUUUCACCAGUGGCAUGAUGUAGUUACAGAUUUUUUUCACAUCAAGUUUCCGAUGGUCUUAUGUAAUACAUCCAGAAGUUCAUGUAUGAGGCCUAAAUUUUGAAUUUCCCACAGUUGUGACCUCUAGAUCAAUACAACUCGUCCCUGCCACCAACAACCUUCUACAAACCUCUAACACUCCCAAUAUAUAAUGUUAGUUUAGAUAUAACAACUUUGUAGCCCAUCGACGUUUUCAUGCUAUACCACUUGAUGGCAAAUAUGCAUUUCUCUUUAUUUGCAAAUUGUUGACCCAUUAUCAACUCUUUUGAUUUGAUAUCUAUUGCCAACCAUUUCGUAGGCAUCAAAUUUAGGUAAUCAGAGAACUCAGAUGCAUGUGGAACAUCAAGAUUUACGCUCAACAUGUGGACCCCAAGGUUAUUGCGUAUGAAAAUGGCUCGAGUAGGGUUCUCAAGUGAAGGGGCAUAUACAUUAUCAUCAUCAUCUACGCCUUCAUCAUCGAUAUUAUCCGAGAGCUCAUUGGUAUUAGGGCCACUAAAAUAUUCACCCUUGUGGUCGUAGCGACCAUCAUUAUCGGGUCCAUCUUCACCAUCUGCAUCGGUACCAAUCACCAACUGAUGCAUCUAUAAACAAGAACCUGGAUUAGGGUUGUUAUACACAGUCGGAACAUUGUGUGAAUUCUUGGCUCAUGUCGAUGUUGCUUCAUAAUCGCACAAUUCUACCUACCCAAUGUUUAGAUCAAACUCAAAUUUGUGUACAAAUGACCGCCUAUUGGUAGAUGCUAUCAGAACCUUGGGUCUUGAACUCUAUAUUGUUCAUUUAAUGGAGUGAUAUUUUAAGUGGGCUCAACAUCUGCUAACUCAGUGAACAACUCAACUGGUUAAAUGUUCCCAAGUGAGCGACAAAGUGUGAUAAUAGUCUCUACGCCAUCAUCAUCUAUAAGUUCCAUCUCCUUAUAUUUGCAUAAAUUUUACGAAACUGGAAAUUUGUAGAAUAGCCUAGACAUUCUCCUCCCACAACGUCGAGUAAUUUUUGCACAAAUCUUCUGUUUCACAUCAUCGACUUUUAUAUUCUUGUUGAACCCUAUUUCUAUUUGAUGACGAGAUUCAAAUAUACAACCAUUUGCUAUUUGUAAAACUACCCCCUCGAAAUGUGUAUACAAAGAAUUGGUUAUCCAUCUUUAAUACUAUAUUUAUAGAAUAAAUUAAAAAUAAAAACUAUUAGCUCCUAUUAAAACAAUUCAUACAAUUUUAUAGCAACAACAAUACUUUUUAUCAAACAAUAUAAAUGUGUAAUUAUUGGAAAAUUUUUUAUUAAAAAUUCAAUUUAUUAUUAUGUUAAUUUAAACGUAACAUUUUUAUAUUUAAUUAACAAUAGUUAAUGAAAAUAAAUAAGCAAAGGCAAAGUUGACAAGUUAUAUUUCAUUGGAAGUACAAUUCUAUUUUAUUUAUACUUCUUAUAUCUAUAAAUAUAAAUUUUAGAGAAACAUUAUAAAUUGUUCUCAUUAAUCAAUAAAAUACGCUCACAUUUUUGUUCUCCCAUGUUCUUUUUGUUCUUUACUCUUCUUCUUUUUAUUCUAUAAAAAAUUAAAUUUUAAUCUUUUUUUUUUUUGUAUUGAUUGAUACACUAUAAUUCCAAAAAUAGCAAAAUUAACUAGUGAACACUGGCGCCAAUCGAAAUUUACAUUAAAAUAGAACUUGAAAUGGAGUGUUCUAAUCGGUAGAAGUGAUAUAAAAACGAAAUUGAAUUUCUUUUUUGUAAAAAAAUUGAAAACAACACAACUUUUUUCAAUUAUUUUAUGUUGAUAAAAUGAAAGAAUGGAUAAUAAAUCUUAAUUUAUUACUUCUUAUAAAUUAUGAAAUUUUUUUAUUUUUUUAUUUUAAAAAAAUUAAAUUCUUUUAUGAUAUCUUCUCAAGCAUAGAAAAGGUACAUAAAUGCGUAAUUAUUGGAAAUUAUUUUUAUUAAAAAUUAAAUUUAUUAUUAUGUUAAUUUAAAACGUGACAUUUUUUGUUAUUUAAUUAACAAUAGUUAAUGAAAGUCAAAAAGAAAAAGCGAAGUUGACAAGUUAAAUAAUUAUUUUAUAAUUUCUUUUCAAAAAAGUGUUGAAUUACUUUAUAAUUUUUUAUAAUUUUUUUAAAAAAGUUGACAAUACCCAAAGUAACCGAUGGGUUAGGUGAUUCACGUGGUUUUGCAAAAACAACUUUCGGUUAUUUCUUAAAGUUUUGCAAUUUUGUUGACCAUGUCAUAAGAAAAAACAAUAAAAAUGUACAAAUUGGCACUAAGAAAAAUUUCCAUUAUAUCUUUUAAAUUUAAAAUUUUAAAAUAUUUAAUGAGUCCAUGAAAUUUAAAAAAAAAUCUAAUUAAAUUUUCUAAAAGUUCUAAAAAUUUCAAGUAAAUUUCUAAAAUUUUUAAAAACUCUAAUCUUCUUAAAAAUUGUAACUAAAUUUCCCAAUUUUUUUGAAACUUUUUCUUAAACCCUACUUUUUUUUACAAUUUGAUUAAACCAUCAUCAUCAUCAUUAUUAUUAUUAUUAACUUUUGGAAAUUAAACUACACGUAGAGCUUUUACCUAAAGCAUUUUCAAGUGUAGUAUAAACACUAUGUACUAAAACACGAGAGGUGAGACUUAUGUUGCAAAAUGUUACUAACUAUUGUAGAUCAUACACAUAGAGACUUAAAACUUACAGGGAAUCAAUAUGGACCCAUUUGAUAGAGAACCAAUUGUUAUAUUGGUCUAAACAAAUGGAUUAAAUCGAUUGAAUUAAAAAUUUUCAGAACCGAUAAAAAUCGAAAAUUGAGAUGAAAACUAAUAGUUGAACCAAUUUAAUCCUUUUUAUUUUAUUUUAUGAAUUUUAAUUGUUUAUUUAAUUAGUUGGUAUAACAGUUGAACCGAUCAAACCGAUUGAACUGAGACUAGUGGUCUAAAUGGUUCAACAACAGUCCGAUUAUUAGAACAUUGUAUGUGGCACUCAAAGAUUGUACCACGUUAUCACUUAAAUAUUUAUAUAAUUUUUUUAAUUUUCAAGUAAUGAUAUCUCAAAGUUACGUCAUCAAACUUUUAUAUUUUUCAAAUUUAGGAACCAAAAUGAAACUCGUUGUCAAGUUCAGGAGUCAAAAUGGAUAAAAAGAGUAUAAGUACCAAAGUAAACCUAGUUAUCAAGUUUAUGGGCAAAAUUUCUAUUAUCCUUUUUUUUUCAAAAGCAAUAAACAUAAUGGUUUCACUAGGAAAAAAAUAGUAGCAUUUAUGAUUAAAAAAAUGUAAUGAAAAAUGGCAUCAACCCCAUUUUACAAUAUGUUGUUCCUUGACCUCUAUAUCUCUAAAAAUUUUAACUCUCAUUAAUUUUCUAAAAUAUUUUAACUAAAUUCCCCAAAAAAUUUGAAUUUUUUUAUUAAGCCCCUAAACUUUUUAAAAUUUAAUUAAAUCCUUAUAUUUCUUUUGGAAAUUAAACAACAUAUAGAACUUUUACCUAAAUCAUUUUCAAGUGUAGUAUAAACACUAUGUACUACCAGAAGCAGGCUUGAGUAGUUAUAAAACAGGGGAGGGGAGACUUAAGUCGCAAUAUAUAAAAAUAUAUUAAUGAUUUACAAUAUUUGUUUCUAAACUUAUUUAUUAAUGAUUUACAAUACCCGGUGCGAAGCACGAGCUAUUAAAUUAGAAGGUUUUAAUUAUUUUAUAUGGUUUAAUCAAAUGUCCUUUGAUUAGUUUUUUUGGCUGACAAAUGUCUCUUGAUAUUAAUGUCAUCUGAUGGGAAAACCUUAUCCUAAAAUUUAUGAUAUUAAGAUGAUGAGAAGAAUGACGCUAACUUUUGGAUGUCAUGACGCUAACUUUUGAAAUCGUGACAUUCAACCUCAAGAUCGCGACGUCCAUGGAAUAAUUUUGUAAUUUGGUCUUCGAGGAGUGAAGCUGGUUUGCUGUCUUGGGGUCGCGGCAUUAAAUUCUAAAUGUCAUUAUAUUUAAUUUGAAGGUUUUUGAAAAUAUUACAAUUUAAUUUAUUAACGCUAUCGGGUUAAUAAUAAAGUUUUCAUAAACUUGUAAAAAUAAGAUAUAUAUGGAUCGCGUAAAAUCACAAUUUCAUAUAAUCUUUUUUGAAAAAAUAAAUUACAAACAACCUGCAACUAGACCUGUCUAUGGGCCAGGCCGGGCCGGGUUCGGGCCGGGCCCACAAAAAUUUUCAGCCCGUUUACUAGGCCCGGGCCCGGCCCAAAAUAUGGGCCUGAGAUUUUGCCUAUGCCCGGCCCGAAAAAAUAUGGGGCCCGAGCCCGGCCCGGCCCGUUUUUAAUUAAAAUUAAAAUUAUUUUUUAAUAAAAUUAAAACUAAUUGUUAUUAAAAUUAAUUGUUAGUAAAAUUAUCAAAUUAUUAAUUAUUAAUUGUUAAUUGUAUUAAUUGUUGUAAUAAAAUCUAAAAUUUGAUUAGUAAAUUUAUCAAAUUAUUAAUUGUAUUAAUUGUUGUAAUAAAAUCUAACAUUUGAUUAGUAAAUUUAUCAAAUUAUUAAUUGUAUUAAUUGUUGUAACAAAAUCUAACAUUUGAUUAGUAAAACAAACUUGAUGUUUUAUUAUUAUUAUUUUGUAACACUAGUCAAGGAAAUGAAAGUAAAUAAACUUAAAAUAAAAAACUAUUAUAUUUUAAAAAUAAAAAAUAUAUAUUUAAUAUUUUCGGCCCGGGCCGGCCAAAAAAAUCUUGCCCGAGGCCAGUCCCAUUUCUUAAACGGGCCUAAAAUUUUGCCCAAGCCCAUAUUUCGGGCCUAUAUUUUUACCCAAACCCUCCCAUAUUUCGGGCGGGUCGUCGGGCCGGGCCGGGCCACCCGGCCCAUGGACAGGUCUACCUGCAACUAAUUAUACAAUCAACAAAUCAUUUUCUUUUAAGGGUAAGCUACAUCAACCGUCCUUAAAUUUUAAUUAAAAUUAUGUUUCAACCACUUAACUUUUAAAUUUUACAAAAUCAUCACUACGGUUAUGGGGUUACUACAAAAUGUUCACCUAAUUGCUAAGUACCCUUAACGAAGUAAGGUUUAUCUGACGUGGCAUGACAAAUAUGCUAAGUAUUUAAGAACUGUCUUCCUUUUUAUUUUUUCUGAAUAUUAAUUACUUACUUUAAAUGACAUAUGAAAUUUUCUUUAUUUUUCUUUUCUCCCUUCUUUCUUUUCCUUCUUUAUUCACUAAAUCACUACCAUCCACAACCUGUGCCUCCCUUAAGUUGUCCACAUCAUCUUUAACCUCAACCUUCUUUACAAGAUAUAUAGAUAGAUGCAUGCAGACGAAGAGGCCAGGAGUUGGGUUGAGUGACGGAGCAACGAUAAGUUACGCAGAUGGUGUGGUUUGUGCAAGCAGGUACUGAAGAUUACAUACAUAGAAAAUUUAGGUGAUAGGACAUAUAAUGUUAACUUUAGCAUGAUAAUUAAACUUAAUAUACACUAAAAUAUUUGACCCUAGCCAAAUGCCAAACUAAAAGCAAAACCAUGAAAACUUCAAUCACGACUUUCAUUACAUACAAAUGCGUAGGCAUUCAUUUUUUAUUGAAAGCACACCAGCACAAUAAUACUAAAAAUUAAUCUUUCACAAACGCCAACACGGUUUGCAUGAAGGUGAAGACGACCACCAUAAAAGCUGCAACAGUCCCUGUUCCUCUCCAAAGAUUGGGGAAAUAAACACGCUUCAGAAUUCCAUAAUUCUCCUUGAUGAAUAAUGUCACUUUGCGCUUCCGAGCCUCUUUAUAAAGCUGGUUCAAUCGGUUCGCGGUUACCCGGUAGCAUGCAGGAGAUGGCUGCCCAAUACCCACCAUAAGUUUCUUAAUCAUACGUUGCACAACUAUAUUCGUGUUUAUUAUGGUAACCAGUCUUCCUUCGUGUUUGCCUUCCUUGCUUAAAAUCUCUUUUUCUAUUAACCGUUCUACAUCUUGGGCAUUUUGAAUGAGAUAAUUCAUUAGUUCUAUGUAAGCACAAACGUAGGCUUCAUCUGGACAAUGGCACAUCUCGAACGCCAUGACGUUCCGAAGGUAAGCUUCAGUGUUGGAGUGCACUGUCAAUUUGGGGAUUUUAAGCUUUUUGCCUUCAAAUUUAAUAUCAAGCAAACAUGCAGUUUGAUUAGGUUCAACUAUAAGCUGAACACCAACUUCUUGCAAACUUGCGGCACCAUACACUUUUUUUAACGUUGGGAUCUUGGUCUUGGAUGAUGGAUU
rnacentral:lncRNA from 1 species